rnacentral:lncRNA from 13 species
CAUGACUUCUGCCAGGAGAUGGGGGUGGCGCUGUCAGAAGUUCAAGACUGUCUUUUCUACCCUCUUCAGUGACUUAUUCAGUGAUAUAAAGUUAAAACCAGGUUUAGGUCCUCACAAAACCAAUCCUUCUGGAUGUGAAUUGAAAAUACCUUCUACAUGCUGAUAUUUCUUAGAAAUUUUAUGAAUUUGAAGUAACAGUAAUUAAUCGACUAGCAACUGGAUUGGGCUCAAACUUAGGUAAUUUCUCUUAAUUUUCUUAUGC